rnacentral:rRNA from 1 species
ACGGGAGGCAGCAGUGGGGGAUAUUGCACAAUGGGGGAAACCCUGAUGCAGCGACGCCGCGUGAGUGAAGAAGUAUUUCGGUAUGUAAAGCUCUAUCAGCAGGGAAGAUAAUGACGGUACCUGACUAAGAAGCCCCGGCUAACUACGUGCCAGCAGCCGCGGUAAUACGUAGGGGGCAAGCGUUAUCCGGAUUUACUGGGUGUAAAGGGAGCGUAGACGGCAUGGCAAGUCUGAUGUGAAAACCCGGGGCUCAACCCCGGGACUGCAUUGGAAACUGUCAGGCUAGAGUGCGGGAGAGGUAAGUGGAAUUCCUAGUGUAGCGGUGAAAUGCGUAGAUAUUAGGAGAAACACCAGUGGCGAAGGCGGCUUACUGGACUGUAACUGACGUUGAGGCUCGAAAGCGUGGGGAGCAAACAGGAUUAGAUACCCUGGUA